rnacentral:snRNA from 1 species
GUACUCGCUUUGGCAGCACAUAUAAUAAAAUUGGAAAGAUACAGAGAAGAUGAGCAUGGCCCCUGCACAAGGGUGACAUGCAAAUUCAUGAAGCAUUCCAUAUUUUA